UCUCGCGUCAGGAUAUGCCUAGGUGGGAUUAGCUAGUUGGUGAGGUAAGGGCUCACCAAGGCGACGAUCCCUAGCUGGUCUGAGAGGAUGAUCAGCCACACUGGAACUGAGACACGGUCCAGACUCCUACGGGAGGCAGCAGUGGGGAAUAUUGCACAAUGGGCGCAAGCCUGAUGCAGCCAUGCCGCGUGUNUGAAGAAGGCCUUCGGGUGUAAAGCACUUUCAGUCGUGAGGAAGGNGGUGUAGUUAAUAGCUGCAUUAUUUGACGUUAGCGACAGAAGAAGCACCGGCUAACUCCGUGCCAGCAGCCGCGGUAAUACGGAGGGUGCGAGCGUUAAUCGGAAUUACUGGGCGUAAAGCGCAUGCAGGUGGUUUGUUAAGUCAGAUGUGAAAGCCCGGGGCUCAACCUCGGAAUAGCAUUUGAAACUGGCAGACUAGAGUACUGUAGAGGGGGGUAGAAUUUCA
rnacentral:rRNA from 1 species